UACAGAGGGUGCAAGCGUUAAUCGGAAUCACUGGGCUUAAAGCGUUCGUAGGCGGGUUUGCAGGCGCGUUGUGAAAGCCCUCGGCUCAACCGGGGAACUGCUUCGCGAACCGCAAAUCUUGAGUCAAGUAGGGGCGAUCGGAACGAUAGGUGGAGCGGUGAAAUGCGUAGAUAUCUAUCGGAACGCCGAAGGUGAAGACAGGUCGCUGGGCUUGUACUGACGCUGAGGAACGAAAGCAUGGGGAGCGAACAGG
rnacentral:rRNA from 1 species